GACGAACGCUGGCGGCGUGCUUAACACAUGCAAGUCGAACGGAAAGGCCCUGCUUUUGUGGGGUGCUCGAGUGGCGAACGGGUGAGUAACACGUGAGUAACCUGCCCUUGACUUUGGGAUAACUUCAGGAAACUGGGGCUAAUACCGGAUAGGAGCUCCUGCUGCAUGGUGGGGGUUGGAAAGUUUCGGCGGUUGGGGAUGGACUCGCGGCUUAUCAGCUUGUUGGUGGGGUAGUGGCUUACCAAGGCUUUGACGGGUAGCCGGCCUGAGAGGGUGACCGGCCACAUUGGGACUGGGAUACGGCCCAGACUCCUACGGGAGGCAGCAGUGGGGAAUAUUGCACAAUGGGCGGAAGCCUGAUGCAGCAACGCCACGUGCGGGAUGACGGCCUUCGGGUUGUAAACCGCUUUCGCCUGUGACGAAGCGUGAGUGACGGUAAUGGGUAAAGAAGCACCGGCUAACUACGU
rnacentral:rRNA from 1 species